GAUGAACGCUGGCGGCGUGCUUAACACAUGCAAGUCGAACGAAGUGGCGAACGGGUGAGUAACGCGUCAUCAACCUGCCCUUCAGAGGGGGACAACAGUUGGAAACGACUGCUAAUACCGCAUACUGAAGGAGGGGAUUUCGUCUGAUUAGCUAGUUGGAGGGGUAACGGGCCACCAAGGCUGUGAUCAGUAGCCGGGUGGCGAGGAUGGACGGCCACAUUGGGACUGAGACACGGCCCAAACUCCUACGGGAGGCAGCAGUGGGGAAACAUCCGCAAUGGACGAAAGUCUGACGGAGCAACGCCGCGUGGGUGAUGACGGCCUUCGGGUUGUAAAGCUCUGUUAAUCGGGACGCGGUACCGGAAGAGAAAGCCACGGCUAACUACGUGCCAGCAGCCGCGGUAAUAC
rnacentral:rRNA from 1 species